UACGGGGGGGGCAAGCGUUGUUCGGAAUUACUGGGCGUAAAGGGCUCGUAGGCGGCCAACUAAGUCAGACGUGAAAUCCCUCGGCUUAACCGGGGAACUGCGUCUGAUACUGGAUGGCUUGAGUUUGGGAGAGGGAUGCGGAAUUCCAGGUGUAGCGGUGAAAUGCGUAGAUAUCUGGAGGAACACCGGUGGCGAAGGCGGCGUCCUGGACCGGCAUUGACGCUGAGGCGCGAAAGCCAGGGGAGCAAACGGG
rnacentral:rRNA from 1 species